rnacentral:rRNA from 1 species
UACAGAGGGGGCAAGCGUUAUUCGGAAUUAUUGGGCGUAAAGAGCGCGUAGGCGGCCCGGAAAGUCGGAUGUGAAAACCCGGGGCUCAACCCCGGGCCUGCAUCCGAUACUCCCGGGCUGGAGGCAGGUAGGGGAGAUCGGAAUUCCUGGUGUAGCGGUGAAAUGCGCAGAUAUCAGGAGGAACACCGGUGGCGAAGGCGGAUCUCUGGGCCUGUCCUGACGCUGAGGCGCGAAAGCUAGGGGAGCGAACAGG